rnacentral:rRNA from 1 species
AGUCGAGCGAACAGAUAAGGAGCUUGCUCCUUUGACGUUAGCGGCGGACGGGUGAGUAACACGUGGGUAACCUACCUAUAAGACUGGGAUAACUUCGGGAAACCGGAGCUAAUACCGGAUAACAUUUGGAACCGCAUGGUUCUAAAGUGAAAGAUGGUUUUGCUAUCACUUAUAGAUGGACCCGCGCCGUAUUAGCUAGUUGGUAAGGUAACGGCUUACCAAGGCGACGAUACGUAGCCGACCUGAGAGGGUGAUCGGCCACACUGGAACUGAGACACGGUCCAGACUCCUACGGGAGGCAGCAGUAGGGAAUCUUCCGCAAUGGGCGACAGCCUGACGGAGCUACGCCGCGUGAGUGAUGAAGGGUUUCGGCUCGCAAAACUCUGUUAUUAGGGGAGAACAAAUGUGUAAGUAACUGUGCACGUCUUGACGGUACCUAAUCAGAAAGCCACGGCUAACUACGUGCCAGCAGCCGCGGUAAUACGUAGGUGGCAAGCGUUAUCCGGAAUUAUUGGGCGUAAAGCGCGCGUAGGCGGUUUCUUAAGUCUGAUGUGAAAGCCCACGGCUCAACCGUGGAGGGUCAUUGGAAACUGGGAAACUUGAGUGCAGAAGAGGAAAGUGGAAUUCCAUGUGUAGCGGUGAAAUGCGCAGAGAUAUGGAGGUACACCAGUGGCGAAGGCGACUUUCUGGUCUGUAACUGACGCUGAUGUGCGAAA